AUUGAACGCUGGCGGCAGGCCUAACACAUGCAAGUCGGGCGGGCGGCGGACGGGUGAGUAAUGUAUUGGGAUCUUCCUUAUUGCGGGGGGUAACUUCUGGAAACGGUAGCUAAUACCCCAUACCAUCAGAUGAACCCAUAUUGGAUUAGCUAGUAGGUAAGGGAACGGCUUACCUAGGCGACGAUCCCUAGCUGGUCUGAGAGGAUGAUCAGCCACACUGGGACGGAGACACGGCCCAGACUCCUACGGGAGGCAGCAGUGGGGAAUAUUGCACAAUGGGCGCAAGCCUGAUGCAGCCAUGCCGCGUGUAUGAAGAAGGCCUUCGGGUUGUAAAGUACUUUCAGUCGGGAGGCGUUACCGACAGAAGAAGCACCGGCUAACUCCGUGCCAGCAGCCGCGGUAAUAC
rnacentral:rRNA from 1 species